GACAGAGGUGCCAAGCGUUAGGCGGAAUCACUGGGCUUAAAGCGUGUGUAGGCGGGCGAUCAAGUACCUUGUGAAAUCCCACGGCUCAACCGUGGAACUGCUGGGUAUACUGGUUGUCUUGAGCCAGCUAGGGGCGAGCGGAACAGACGGUGGAGCGGUGAAAUGCGUAGAUAUCCGGAGGAAUACCAAAGGCGAAGGCAGUGUCCUGGCUGGCAACUGACGCUGAGGCGCGAAAGCUAGGGGAGCGAACAGG
rnacentral:rRNA from 1 species